GAUGUAGCCACCUAGCUUCAACCCAACUGGAGCUAACUGGAACACCCAUCGACCUGAACCUCACACGGAGUUUAGGUGGAGGUUUUCUGCGCCUGUUCGUGAGAAGUACCUGUAUUAAAAAAGUUUUAAAUCGAUCUGUUUAAAUGUCACCAUGGCAGCCUGUGUGUCUCCAACAUCAGCUAUGCAAAGCAGCAAGUCCAUUUGGAUAAUUGGAGACAGCUGAGUGAGGUGUGGUGCCCAGAGAGCUGCAGAGACAACCUUGGCCUCCCUGACGUCUGUGUCUCCUGGUUUGGUUGGGGCGGACCAUCGACAUACAUACAUGUGCCGACACUUUGCGCGCUGUUUUAUAAAAUGUAGUGUUAAAAAUAAAUGUUUUUGCUCAAUUACUGGAAUUUCUUUGGUUAAGACAAAAGUGAGGAAUAAUCAUUUACAAGUUAUUUGUACAACAGGCCCAUUUUAAAUCCCAACAGUUUCUUAGCAGACAAUAGAAAUGUGUUCUUUACUAACUUUACUUGGUUUAAAAAUCUUACUAAAAUAGUGCCGUAUUGCAAAACCCAAUCAUACUUGUUAUGUAUACAUUAGUUUUGUAGAUAUUUUUUACAGAUAUAUAUUUGUGUGCAACAAAUCCAAACUUUGUCAUUCUUUAUUGAAAAACAACAAAAUACAGUUAUACAGAAGUGUGGGAAAAUGAUAAUGUGAAAGUAUUGCUAUUUAAAUGUAAUCCUAUUUAUCUUUAAAAAGAAAAACUCUAAAAAUGUCCUGUACAGCAUCAUGACAGAAGAAUGGUGGUCUGUCUGUCAGAAUGUGCUGAACAGAUUUGCUCUUUGAAGAGGAGUGUCAUGUUUGGAGGAAGGUACUUAACCCAAGACAUGCAGAAUACAACACUGACCAAAAACUGAUGGAAAAAAUGAUUUAUUUAUAAGGAGGAACUUAAGGUGCACAGAUAAGUCUGUGGUUGGAACUGCAACAACAGCUCAGCGUCUGGAGGAGGGAGAACACAGGUGAGCUUAGGUUCUGGUUUCAAAAUCCAUUGUAGGCAGGCAGAGGUGUUCAGCAGACUUACUGUGGUGGGUGUAUGUGUUGGCUGGAGGAGGGAGAGGUAGAGAGCCGGGGGAAGCGCAGGAGAGGGAGCAGAGGUGGAGAGAAGCGGGGCGUCCUGGUGGAUGGGGCACUGGGUGAGAUGAGAGGUGGGUUAUGGAGGGUGGUGAUAAGGUCCGUGUGUUGAAUAUCCAAAUCCUGGAGUAGAGGUCAGUAUCCAAUGAGGUCGACAGGAAUCCUGAAGAAUGGUAAAUCCAAUAUAAGAGCAAAAACACUACGAAAUAACAUUAAUCCUAGGAACACUAGAGGUAACACGAGUGGCUGGUUACUACCAAAACUGAGGCAAUCUUCUGGCGUCAAAUUGUGUCCUCCAUCCACCUUAAAUAGGAAAGCACCCCGCUGAUUGCUGAUCAGGAACGGCUGGGGUGUAGUCACCAGAACCAUGAAGAACGUGUCUCCAGAGACAACUCGGGUCCUGGUACCAAUCAGGAAAGCGGACCUUAUCACCCAGAGCUGCCAGGUCACGCUCAAAGCCUUCAUGUUCACGCUGCAGAGCCUGAACGCUGGCCAGGUGGUGGCCGUAGUUGUCUGUGUUCAGGGCCUGGUUCUUCUCCUCGAUCCACUCUUUGGUCUCAUCAGCGUCUCUGAGAAGACAUCAGAACUCCGUCUGAGUGUGGGUCCAAACUCUACUGACCCGUAAGCGGCGCAUAAGUGUGCGGGGUACCUGUGGAAGCGCUACACCUCAUGGGCGCUGCCCAGCAUGUUGCAGCGAGCGCCAGCGGUUGUUCAGCUCCUGGAGAGAAACCAAACCCAGUGAGAUGAAGGUGGACGCCAGCGGGCUGGACGCCGGACGAGGAAACCUGGAGACGGAUCGCUCAGACAGGAAGGGAAGAGCUUCCUCUUACCUUGAUGGAAUUAAAGUUAGCCGUCGUCUGAACGCCCAACCGUACGGUCUGAGGUCAAAGGUCACAGGAAACACACACCAGUCAGCAGUCAUACAGAUGCAUAAAGAUAACUGUAGCCAUGGCAACCAGCUGACAUGUCCCCACUUUCACCAGCACCUGGUGCCUGCCGGGUCACCUGAAUUCCUGUGUGAUGUCAGCACGGUCGGCCGUGACUGCGGCCAUCAGAGGUGACCUCUGAUCAGCUGAAUGAACUCACCUUCUAGGGUGACGCCGUGUUACCCCGGGUUUCCACGGGAGCCGUCAGCAGCACGUUACUGCAGCAGCACGUCUUGCUCGCGUAAGCUGCUGCUCGGCCCUUCCCGCGACAUGCUGCUCCUGAGACGUGGCCGACUCGCGCUGCUGACGGCUCCGGUGGAAAAGGUUCUGUUGACCACAGCGGUUCCUAUCAGCAGCUAUGACGUGCUGCUGCAGUAACGUGCUGCUGACGACUCCUGUGGAAAGCCGGGGUUAGAGUCGGCUUCAUCCUGUAAACAAACAAAUGAGUGGUAACAAAAACACCACGUCUGGUUCUGGUGGAGGCGGAGGACAACACGCACCUUUCCAGGAGCAGAACCCAGAUGUUCUUGUUGCUACAAACAGAGACGAGCAGAGUUAACAAACCAGGAAGUGAGAGGGACCAGCUGCUGCAGACAGGUGACGCUCACCUGAGCCUGAACCAUAGGAGCCUCCUCAGCCAUCAGACCUUCUGACUCCAGUUCAGAUGCCACCUUGUUGAUGUCCCUCAGGCGGGACUCGUUGGCCUUCAGGUCCUGCAGGACAAAAGCACCUGCUGAUUAUCACCUGAGCUGAUCUGACAGCUGCUGCUGGAAGACGGAGAGGAGGAAAAGUCCGACCUUCUGGAAGUCGUCAAACUUCUUCUGCAAGACCUCGACCUGCUCCAGGUCCGACCCGUCUCUCCAUCCUCAUUCAGCUAAAGACGCGAGUUCAAGUAAAACAACCUAAAGUCACACAAACACAAAGCAGGUGUGGAGAUGUUCGCUCUGAGCUGGAGGUCGUUCCUCGGCUGUGAAGGGCACACGAACCUUGUUGGUGCUGUUGAGCAGCGUGAGGAUGUCGCCCUUCUUCAUGGUGACCUCUCCAGGACUCUUCUCCUGGUAGUCGUACAGAGCCAGAACCAGCUCCUUCCCGGUCUCAUCGUCAGUUGGAGCCACUUGUUGCUGUCGGGUUAACAGGUCUGGUGUUAGAACGUGGUGGAUAAGAAUGUUCUGACGGGCCGAGGGUUCUGAACCAGCGAAGUGACCUGGACCCAAACAAAGUGAGCCAGAACCUGCAGACACCUCAGAAACAUGUCAGGACCAGACCUGCUCUACCUUCUUCCACCAUGGUCUCUCCUUUCUGGGUGACAGCCUUGAUGCGAGGUUCAUGACCUGUGAUCUCAGCCUGCAGAGCCUGGUGCUUCUUCAGCAGGUUCUGGACACCAAUCAGGUCCUUUCC